CCGCGUAGCAGGAAGAAGGCUCUGCGGAGUGUAAACUGCUUUUACCAGGGAAGAGUACGGACGGUACCUGGAGAAUCAGCCCCGGCUAACUACGUGC
rnacentral:rRNA from 1 species